AGUGAACGCUGGCGGUAGGCCUAACACAUGGAAGUCGAACGGCAGCACAGUAAGAGCUUGCUCUUACGGGUGGCGAGUGGCGGACGGGUGAGGAAUACAUCGGAAUCUACUUUUUCGUGGGGGAUGACGUAGGGAAACUUACGCUAAUACCGCAUACGACCUACGGGUGAAAGCAGGGGAUCUUCGGACCUUGCGCGAUUGAAUGAGCCGAUGUCGGAUUAGCUAGUUGGCGGGGUAAAGGCCCACCAAGGCGACGAUCCGUAGCUGGUCUGAGAGGAUGAUCAGCCACACUGGAACUGAGACACGGUCCAGACUCCUACGGGAGGCAGCAGUGGGGAAUAUUGGACAAUGGGCGCAAGCCUGAUCCAGCCAUACCGCGUGGGUGAAGAAGGCCUUCGGGUUGUAAAGCCCUUUUGUUGGGAAAGAAAAGCAGCAGGUUAAUACCCCGCUGUUCUGACGGUACCCAAAGAAUAAGCACCGGCUAACUUCGUG
rnacentral:rRNA from 1 species